rnacentral:rRNA from 1 species
AGAGUUUGAUCAUGGCUCAGGAUGAACGCUGGCGGCGUGCCUUACACAUGCAAGUCGAGCGAGGGCUUUUUGUUGGGGCAACCCAACGAGAAGUUCCUAGCGGCAAACGGGUGAGUAAUGGAUGGGUAACCUACCCUAAAGACGGGGAUAGCCUUCUGAAAGGAAGGGUAAUACCCGAUAAUGUUAACAGAUUUUUGUCUGUUAAAGAAAGAUGGCCUCUGUUUUAUGCUAUCACUUCUGGAGGGGCUCAUCUCCUAUCAGCUUGUUGGCGAGGUAAUGGCUCACCAAGGCUACGACGGGUAGCUGGUCUGAGAGGAUGGUCAGCCACAUUGGGACUGAGACACGGCCCAGACUCCUACGGGAGGCAGCAGUGGGGAAUAUUGGUCAAUGGGCGAAAGCCUGAACCAGCGACNCCGCGUGGAGGAUGAAGGCCGCAAGGUCGUAANCUCCUUUUAUAAAGGAAAAAGGGAUAGAUUUCAAAUAGGAAUUUACUCNGGA